rnacentral:misc_RNA from 1 species
ACGUUGUAAACGACGGUGAUACAGAGGGAGCAACUAAGGCAACAAGCGAUUUCCUCGCUGAGGCGGAGAUCCUCCAUGGUGAUUUUAAAUAGGUCGCCGAAGGGCACAGAUAGGUGUAUGCUUGAAGCUUCUCAUUUCAUUCCGUGUCCUCUAUCUCCACAUCGUUGUACGACAUCGUUUCCAAGCCCUUUGAUUCGUUUGCUCUGCUUUUUCUCUGUGUAUCGUUUGAUCAGAGAAAGGAAGAAUAUGAGUCGGCUUGAAAUUUUAUGGACAGAUCUGGAUGAUUCGAUUCGCUUUCAUUUGCUCAUAUGAAUAUGGAUUAUGUUCUUCAGAAUAAUGUCGGUUUUGUGAAGAUGGGCUUCGGCAUUAUAAAAUUUAUAAUUGCGCUCUUUGGAUGCUGG